GCUGCAACCCCCACCUCCAUAAUUCCCUAGCUUAUUUUUCCUUUCAGUCGCUUCACGUACAUUAAUUUCUUUUACCUUUUUAUCCUACUUAAUCUGGUAAAUAAUUGGCAUGCAUGAUUCUAAAAUUCUAAAAGCUAGUUAAGCUAUAUAUCGUACUCCAAUCAUCCAUGCAUGCGUCACAGUUGAUGAUGGGUUUGAACUUUGAAGAGCCGUGGAAGAAAGGUGAAACCAAAAAAAGAUCAAAAAGGGCAGAAAGGGUAUUCGGGUCCCAUUCAAAGUUGGCAGUGGAUUACUUGGAUACGCUUCAAAUCUUCAACACGUAAAGGAGAACGACUUGGAUGUGUCGCUUGACAUAAAAAACGGGUGCAAGUCGUGUCUUGAUAAGACAUGAUUGAAAGUGGAGAUUACAAAAAACAAACUAAGGGACAUGGAGGCUUGAGCUCAAAUGUCAUGUUUGGCAGAGGUUCGGUUAUAAAUGGCGGGUUUUCUUGGUUCUUGGUUGUGAAAAUUUUGAUCGGCAAAUUUUAAUUUGGGCUGCCAUUUUUUUUUUCA